rnacentral:rRNA from 1 species
AUUGAACGCUGGCGGCAUGCCUUACACAUGCAAGUCGAACGGUAACAGGUCUUCGGAUGCUGACGAGUGGCGAACGGGUGAGUAAUACAUCGGAACGUGCCUAGUAGUGGGGGAUAACUACUCGAAAGAGUGGCUAAUACCGAAUGAGAUCUACUGCUGAAAGCAGGGGAUCGUAAGACCUUGUGCUACCAGAGCGGCCGAUGGCAGAUUAGGUAGUUGGUGGGAUAAAAGCUUACCAAGCCGACGAUCUGUAGGUGGUCUGAGAGGACGAUCAGCCACACUGGGACUGAGACACGGCCCAGACUCCUACGGGAGGCAGCAGUGGGGAAUUUUGGACAAUGGGCGCAAGCCUGAUCCAGCAAUGCCGCGUGCAGGAUGAAGGCCUUCGGGUUGUAAACUGCUUUUGUACGGAACGAAAAGCCCUGGGUUAAUACCCUGGGGUCAUGACGGUACCGUAAGAAUAAGCACCGGCUAACUACGUGCCAGCCGCCGCAGUAAGAC